CCUACGGGUGGCAGCAGUGAGGAAUAUUGGUCAAUGGGCUGAAGUCUGAACCAGCCAUGUCGCGUGCGGGAAGACGGCCCUAUGGGUUGUAAACCGCUUUUGUCAGGGAGCAACGCCGGCUACGUGUAUCCGGACGGAAAGUACCUGAGGAAAAAGCAUCGGCUAACUCCGUCCCAGCACCCGCGGUAAUACGGAGAUUGCGAGCGUUAUCGGGUUUUUUUGGGUUUAAGGGGUGCGUGGGCGGAAUGCCAAGUCAGCGGUAAAAUCGCGGGGCUCAACCUCGCUCCGCCGCUGAUACUGGCGUUCUUGAGUGGGCGAGAAGUAUGCGGAAUGCGUGGUGUAGCGGUGAAAUGCAUAGAUAUCACGCAGAACUCCGAUUGCGAAGGCAGCAUACCGGCGCACAACUGACGCUGAAGCACGAAAGCGUGGGUAUCGAACAGGAUUAGAUACCCUGGUAGUC
rnacentral:rRNA from 1 species